rnacentral:rRNA from 1 species
UGCGAAUGGCUCAUUAAAUCAGUUAUCGUUUAUUUGAUAGUACCUUACUACUUGGAUAACCGUGGUAAUUCUAGAGCUAAUACAUGCCAAAAACCCCGACUUCGGGAGGGGUGUAUUUAUUAAAUAAAAAACCAAUGCCCUCUGGGCUCUUUGGUGAUUCAUGAUAACUUCGCGGAUCGCAUGGCCUUGCGCCGGCGACGGUUCAUUCAAAUUUCUGCCCUAUCAACUUUCGAUGGUAAGGUAUUGGCUUACCAUGGUCUCAACGGGUAACGGGGGAUUAGGGUUCGACUCCGGAGAGGGAGCCUGAGAAACGGCUACCACAUCCAAGGAAGGCAGCAGGCGCGCAAAUUACCCAAUCCCGACACGGGGAGGUAGUGACAAUAAAUACUGAUACAGGGCUCUUUUGGGUCUUGUAAUCGGAAUGAGUACAAUUUAAAUCCCUUAACGAGGAACAAUUGGAGGGCAAGUCUGGUGCCAGCAGCCGCGGUAAUUCCAGCUCCAAUAGCGUAUAUUAAAGUUGUUGCAGUUAAAAAGCUCGUAGUUGAACCUUGGGCCUGGCUGGCUGGUCCGCCUCACCGCGUGCACUGGCAUGGCCGGGCCUUUCCUCCUGGAGAGCCCCAUGCCCUUCACUGGGCGUGUGGGGGAACCAGGACUUUUACUUUGAAAAAAUUAGAGUGUUCAAAGCAGGCCUUUGCUCGAAUACAUUAGCAUGGAAUAAUGAAAUAGGACGUGCGGUCCUAUUUUGUUGGUUUCUAGGACCGCCGUAAUGAUUAAUAGGGACAGUCGGGGGCAUCCGUAUUCAAUUGUCAGAGGUGAAAUUCUUGGAUUUAUUGAAGACGAACUACUGCGAAAGCAUUUGCCAAGGAUGUUUUCAUUAAUCAGUGAACGAAAGUUAGGGGAUCGAAGACGAUCAGAUACCGUCGUAGUCUUAACCGUAAACUAUGCCGACUAGGGAUCGGGCGAUGUUAUUAUCUUGACUCGCUCGGCACCUUACGAGAAAUCAAAGUUUUUGGCUCUG